GUCGAACCCUAUCUUUCCCAUUCACCUGCCGAUCUCCUCUUCCUAAGCCCUCACCCUCUCGCGGCCUCUCCUCUCCACACGGCACCGAGCUUCUUCUUCCUCAAGCCUUCACCCCACGAGCACCAGCCUACCACUUCCUUUCCCAAGCCAGUACCUUGCGACGCCACCUCCUCUGCCCUCGCUGAACCUCUUCUCCCCAAGCCAAGCCGACGCACUCUUCUCUUCCAGAUCUGCCACCAUCGUCUCCGACCAGAAGCAAGGAGUCACUGCCGCCCUUUCUCAUUGCUUUGAUGUCAUUGCCGAUGGGAAGGGGAGCUAUGAGGGCACUUCGUCGCAUCCGAUUCCACCUCUUCAAUCGAACCCUAGUCGUUGAUUCACAACCGGCCGAGCAUGCUGGAUAUCUGCUGGAAGUCGCCGAUCGAGUCCAAUAUGCGCUCGACAUCGCCAUUGCCUUCCCUCUGCCCUAGCUUCAAUCCACCGAUUUUCCCUUUCUCCCUAGCUGUUGUCGCCCACACGUCUCCGAAGAUAUAGCGCCACCAAAUCUCGACAGCAUCUAGCCAUCGUUGGCUAAGUAGCUAGAGGAUCUAAUGAUCACCUAAGUUUGUACGUCGUCGAUCUGCUUCCUUAGGGCGCCAACGUUGUGUCUGAUGAAUGGAUUGUUGAUCUCUUCUACACAUUCUGCUGUAGAGAGGGCAACACCUUUGUCUUUUUUCGAUUAUCACGGUGCGUGCGCAAUCCAUAGCUUGGGCCACCAUUUCCGGCAGCAAGAUCUUUAGCCGUGAGAUAAUAGUGGAGCAACCAAAUUAAGGUAAGCAAUGUAUGGAGAUUUGAUUUCAAUUAUGUGAUGGGUUGGUGGAUAUGAAGUUGUAUCAGAUUUUGAUGGAGAUCUUGAAAUCCGUUAUUGUCCUGCAGUGAUCUUGGAGGCAAUGGCUACACUUGGUUCCGGACACCACACCGUCGAUAGAGGACAGUCAUCUUUGUUGAAUUCGUGGUCACCACAGGCUGUUGAAGAAGGAAAAAGGACUUUGAUUCGAGACGAGUGUCUCGACGUGGGAUUGUAUUUGGCACGAUCUACAUUUAAGGCGGGUACUUCUUACUUUGAUUAUGUAGUUCUUUGAACUUGGUACGUGAACUAUUUUGAAUAAGAAAUUGUUUUUACCUUGACUUCAC